AUGACUCAGUCAGUUGCUCUAAUGGUACGUGUUUUCGAUGGCUGCCGUCCAUUGGAGAAAGCUGCGAGAAGACUCAAAGGUUAGUUUGUGGUCAACUAUUCAUAAUUCAGGAAUUAUUUUAGGUAGAAGAAAACGAUUAUGCCAUUAGAUGGCAUAAAUAUUUCUUUGAAGUAAUUUAUCACAAUAUUAUUUUAUUCAAUGUUGAAGAAAUUGCAAGUAGGCCAAAUCCGAACGAAGAUUUUUAUAGAAUAGAGUAAAUAUUCUUGGCAAUCCAGGACUCCUAACCAGUUUUCAACUUUGGUAGGACCGAACGAGAAUCUCUGUAGAGAAGAGCCAAAAUUUCCUAGCCUUCACUGAUUUACGUGUAUUUAUUGUUGUUUAUUCUCGGCGUAUUGCGGUGUUUCUUGUUUGCUACAUUUUUAUCGACUUUUCGCCGCAAGAACUCCUUGGAGCCCGUCGAGCAGCCUGCUACAGUGACCUUUUCUUCAUUCAUACAAGAGCCAAAAUGCCUAGCAAUCCAGUACACCUAACCACCUUGUUUUGUAAUUAUUAUUAUUUCUUUCGUUUAGGCUUACCAAACAAUAAAUCUAGUACGCACCAACCCUAAAUGUAAAUAGUAUGUAAAUGUUUUUGUUCAGACUUUUUGAAAGUAAGGUUGACAAAGUUAACAGCACGAAACAGGGUGUUGCAAUUUAGAGGGAGCAUAGGGGUUUUCUGCCAAUAUAUAUAUACAAAGAAAACUGAAGCAUGUAUCCUGUUUGUUUGUUUGUUUGUUUGAGUGUUUUGAGCUUUGUUUUGGUUGGCAAAAAUAUUUCAUCAUUCAAGUACUGCUUUGAUGGUCAGUUUUAUCUAUCACCUAAAAUUCCUAACUAUUUGUAAGGUCAAGCAGUUAGCCAGAUAUGUUCCUUGAGUUGAGUUUUAAACCUUCUAUCAUAUUCAAGCCAAGCAUGAUUCAAAUUUGUGUCACAAGAUAGUGGAAAUGCAAAGCAACAAAGUGACAAUCUUGAUGAUCAAAGUAAUAAAUUAUUAGAUAAAAAGAAUAUAAAUAGUCAUAUGAAUAGAAAAUAUUUUGGAAAUAUCAAAAAGCAACCAUGGUUAUCUACACUUAAUACACUGACAAAAUAUAUCACCAAGGGAAACAUAUUUUGCUAAUAAUCAUGUAAUACUAAUCAAUGCAAUGCAAGCUUGAUUCUUUGGUGCUAUCAUCAAGAUUGUCACUUUGUUUAAUAAUCAUAAUUAAAAUAAUCAUUUUUUAUCUUUCUUGGGUAUUCUCUUUGGUUUGUCCUUGUAUGUCAGUGUAGGUAACCAUGGUUGCUUUUUGAUAUUUCCAAAAUAUUUUCUUUUCAUUUUACUAUUUAUAUUCUUUUUAUUUAAUAUUCAUAAUUAAAAUAAUUAUUUUUUAUCUUUCUUGGGUAUUCUCUUUAGUUUGUCCUUGUAUGUCAGUGUAGGUAACCAUGGUUGCUUUUUGGUAUUUCCAAAAUAUUUUCUUUUCAUUUUACUAUUUAUCUUCUUUUUAUCUAAUAUUCAUAAUUAAAAUAAUUAUUUUUUAUCUUUCUUGGGUAUUCUCUUUGGUUUGUCCUUGUAUGUCAGUGUAGGUAACCAUGGUUGCUUUUUGAUAUUUCCAAAAUAUUUUCUUUUCAUUUUACUAUUUAUAUUCUUUUUAUCUAAUAUUCAUAAUUAAAAUAAUUAUUUUUUAUCUUUCUUGGGUAUUCUCUUUGGUUUGUCCUUGUAUGUCAGUGUAGGUAACCAUGGUUGCUUUUUGAUAUUUCCAAAAUAUUUUCUUUUCAUUUUACUAUUUAUAUUCUUUUUAUCUAGUAUUCAUAAUUAAAAUAAUUAUUUUUUAUCUUUCUUGGGUAUUCUCUUUGGUUUGUCCUUGUAUGUCAGUGUAGGUAACCAUGGUUGCUUUUUGAUAUUUCCAAAAGAAGUGUGUUAUGUCUUUUUCUGCAUUAUGCAAUCAUUUCAUAGAAAUUCCUAGUAUCCUUUUUUACUAGCAUUUAAAUGUAUUUUGAAGAAAUAUUUCCCAAAAGCUGCUUUGCUAACAAGAUAAAAUAUAGAAUCAGUUAAGGAAAAUUUUUUGUACCUCUUUAUGAUGCAAGACUAUAACUAUAUUUGCUCUUGGGAGGGGCACCAGUCGCUUAAAAAAAAUAACAAAUCCUUUUUUUCCAAUGAGCAAUCUGUUUUGUUCCUAUUGUUUUUGAACAAUUAUGCUCCCAAUAAUUCUAUGCUUCCUACAGCAAUGUGAUAGUUUUCAUUUAUGGAUAAUUUUAUGACUCAGAAGUUGAUAAAUGUAACAUUUUAUAAACAGGUCUUUCCGUAAAAUGUGCAUAAUGUAAUGAUUCAUAGUGAACAUCAAUAACUUUAGUUUGGAAUCGCUAAAGCCAUAACUUUAAUAGCCAUAUUUAUUUCUAUAAAAAUGAGGAGCAUUCUAUGUGGGACCAUGUGGAUCUUUCAAAGCCAUCAUACUUGGUCAAAGAAGAUUAGUCUGUGUGGUAGACAGAUAAAAGCCUUGCUUGCCCAAAAUUUAGCAAGUUGUACUUAGAUGUGUAUUGUAACUUUGUCAUAUGCCUUUGUAGUGAUAAAAUUUGCAGAGGUCUUGUUUGGCUCUCCAUUGUUUAGUUGUUAUUAGGAAAGAAAUUUAUGCUUAUUUGAUUUCAAUGGUUUGUAAUUACAAUCUUUGGUGGUACGGAUUCUGAAAAAUGCUUUGAAAAAGCAAGCAUUUUAAAAAAUAAUUACUGAAGAUUUUCCUCUUAUUGUCUUCAGAGUUUGAAUCAUCAAAAUAAUGAUGGAAAAUUCUAAGCUAGGAAAUAUAUAAGCCCAGCUUAAGGGGACUUCCAGGUUUGAUUUACAAACAAAGUGGGUGUUCAACUAUUGUUUACUGACAUGUUUAUGAAUUUGCUGAUAAUGCACCUUAGAUGGCAAAAACUCUUCUUUUUUUUAAAAAAAGGGGGGUAACACACGCCUCACUCCCCCCUUAACUACAACUCUUGUCACUAAAUUAAAGGUGCUAAGUUUGUCAAAUCACUAAAGAAUUUAGAAAGAAGGGGCAGGAGCAAUUUCCACCUUUUCCUAUUUAUGGAGACUCUCAUCUUUUAUAAGAAACGUUUUACAAGAAGUUCCAGUAGCCUUUUCCAAAACUCUAGAAAUUUAAAACUUUUCUUGAAGGAUUGCCUGCGAACUGUUUUUAAAAAAAAGCUUUUACCUUUGAAACUUUUGAGAAAAUGUGUUUCAUCUGGAAAUGUGCAUAUAGAGAUUGUCCUUGACUCAAGGAUUUAAAAAAUCUUUGAGCGGUUUAAAAACUCAGCAAGAAACGUUUUUUUCAAAUUUAAGGAACAUUACUCCAAGUCGAGAGAGGAAAACUUGGUUCAUUGUUGUAUCAAAUAUUUUAUUUUGUCGUGGUUGCUGUCGGGCCAUCUUGGAUCCGUUGCGGCCAUAUAGGUGGAUGUCCCGAGGUGUCCCAUUUGGGGUUACAUGCCGUUAAUUGCGCAUUUGGAUUUCGGAUGCAUGCCAUCUGAUUCUGUGUCAUCCCUGCCUGGCUGCGGGAAAGGGGCUUCAAACUGAUUGGAUUACAAGAGAUCAGCACACCAACACUUUGAUGUGCUUUAAAACCUGAUUGGUUGGUUUUUCAAAAGUUGCAACGUGAAAAUCCUUCCAGAGGUAUGACAAACUCUGGUCACACCUCUAGCUAAUUGCACAUUUUGGUUGAGGUGUCGUGGUGUAUUGCAAUGUGUUUUCGCCCGUUUUCGCUUUCCCUUCAAGGCGAGUGCUACAACCAGAACAUGUACUGGUAAGCUGAGUUUUUGAUAAAAUUCUUCAUUUUUGAAGGACUUUAAACUUAUCAAGAAUCAGUGAUAGGUGUAAUAAAGUUUCCGAUCCGAGUUGCAGGUUCAAAGGAAUGCAGCUAGCUGAAACCUCGAAAGCCUUGUCAACCGUGUAAAUUCCCACCCAUGUUUACUGAGCUUGUUUACUUGGCAUAUAGCCUAAUGUAUCGAAAUUUUAUUCAUAAUAUCUUACUUAACAUUUUUUGUAAAUCUUAACCUCAGGUUAAACCAGAUGUAGGAUACCGUGAUAGUAGCGAAAUCGGAAGUGUCACCAAAAUUUGCCCACCAUUGAGCGCGGCUUGAAAUUUAGGAUCGGGUUUUUCUAAAGUUUUUUGCGACCUAUAGUUUUCAAAUUCGACCUAGCAAAAUUUUUAUUCACUUUUUUCAAUGAUUUUUGGAACUACAAGACCUUUUCCUCUUAUACCCUGACCGCAUUCAACGGCUUAUGGGCACAGGGUUACCCUUCAUAGGGCGCGGAAGCCUAGCGGAUUAUACUGGAUUGUUUGAUUUCGAUAGCGUGUCAUUAAAAGUAUUGUGGUUUGGACGGGGGUUAGUCUGGCGUCCUGCGAUGUGUUUUCAAAAAGUUAGUAACGACAACUGCCGGUUAGAUUUGAGAUUUACCACUAAAUUUAAAGACAUACGAAGCUGAAAUGUAAGUAAUGAUUGCAUUAUUUAUUUACGCACGCAAACAGUUGGCAAUUCAUUGAAAUUUGACUGAAAGUGCUCGUAAUUUUCAAAAAUUGUAUGUUAAUUCUUGCAAAAUGGCGACAUUUCUUCAAGGGUUGCAAAAAUUUGGAACGCUUCACGAAUUUGCGUGUCAUCCUUGCGCAGGGGCCAUGCUAAUCUUCUCUGUAUCGUUCCAAUUUUAGUAUAUGUGAAGCCGAAGCUUGCACAUUCAUGGGUAGCUCCCUUUGCUACUAAUAACUUUGAACCCCGACACGUGUCAACGUUAAGGGCUUUUGUAGUGCUCUUUUUCCACGAGCGCAUGCGUUUAAAGGGUAUUUUAACUGGAAUAUUUAUCCUGUUUUUCGUUUUUCGUAAAUUUCUAUGUAAAAAUCGUGAAUUUUUACGUUGAAAUUAGUUUGAAACGUCGGUAGGCCUUUGGACGUCUUUCCAAAAGUGUUUGUGAUUCUUUGUACAAAUAUCUUGUUGCUGCCACAUUUUCAGACAAUAUUUAUGCCGUUUUGUAAUUUUUAUUUUUAAAAAUAAAAGCACCAACACACUGGCAUAAGGUCUAGGCCCAUUCUGUCUGAAAUCAGCUGAAUGAUGGGAAAUCAGCAGAGUGAUGGUACAUCAGUGGUGCGUGUAAAUUGCUUGAUUACCGAUAAUUGAUGUUUAUUGACUCAUCGUGGGUCGCAAGUUUACGCUGAAAUGAACAUUGCCAGUAGACUUGGAGUCUUUGCUAGAUUGUUGGCCAAUAUAAAUCUCAAUGAUGUGGGCAAGAUCUGCAAAAAUUCCUUUCAUUUCCAAGUUAAUUAGAUCAACAAGGGAAUUAGCACAGGACAAUUUACCAAUUAAAAGGCAUUUCUACAAAUUACAGGGAAUCCUUGCCAUAGGUCUUGGUACACUAAGCUAUAUUUUUGCAUAACUUCAGUAGCAUGCCCCCAAACCCUUGAAACAACAGUUUAAAAGUUUGAAAUUCAUCCAAUUUUAUUUCAUCAGCUAGGGUAAGUAAUAGGCUUUUCAACCAAUAUUGCUUUGGGGGGAGGGGGGAUAUUUCUGUAUCUUAUGGCUGGAAACCUUUAUUUCAUCAAGAUCUUUCAUUGGCUGCAGGGUGUUCCAAGGACUUUUGUCGAGGAUUGCAGAUAAAGUAUUAGUAGAUUUUUCCUGAUGGUACAAGAAAAAUCGGUAACCAUUAUUUGCUUAUGGUUUCCAGUGAGUAAAUCCUCAAACAAAACAAAAACAGCAAUAAAGACCUAGCAAAUAACAAAGGCACAUCAACCUAUGUGUAAACUAGCCAAACCCGUGUCAAACAACUUACCAAUUUGAGGCAGGGGGCUUACUGGUAUCUAUAUUUUCAAGGGGCAAUUCACUCUUGCAAAUAGCGUAUGAGAUUUUUCCCUAACACAAAUGGAUUUCCAGGGAUUUUCAUAUAAAACAAUAGGAUUUUCACAAAAGGUGUACGAGAUUUUCUGCCCCUUGUAUAUUUUUGUAUAGCUUUGCCUGAAAAUGUUGCAACAUUUUUUUAAAGGAACCAAAACAGCAUACAUGGCAGAAAUCAUGAUAUCAAUGGCAGCACCAGUGGUGGGCGUUAUUGGCUUUCAGGAAUACCUUUAUCGUUUCCUAUCAAUGGAUAGUUGAUAUAAAUUUAUAUCACUGCCCUUUUACAAAGAGGCCCUAUCUGAAGACACUGCCUUCAGCUGGCAGGGAAUUCCCAGAUGGGACAAAGUUGAUCAUCUUGCAGCAAAAUUGCUUUCCCUGUGAGGUAUCAGUGUCACCAUCACAGAAGCUCAGGAUGCAAACGAUUGUAUAAGGAGCUGGACAACUAUGACAAGAAACCUCUUGUCUACAAAUCGGUGGUGCACAAGCCUUCCAGCCUGGCCCUGAAUAAAGCCCAGAUUAAUCGCUGGUUCAAAAUAAGUCUUGGCUCAAAGAGGUUACAGUGCUUCUACAAGGGAGAGUCUUGUCUUUAGUUUGGUGAUUACCAUGACUCCACUACCUGUGCCAUGACCUGUUAAGUGACAUUUUACAUCUGCCAAACCAGUGACAUCCUGACCCAACAGACGGACCAGGGUGGGCCUCAGUUCAGUCACAGCUGUGUCUGCACAGCUGCAAGUCUCCACCUCUCCAGUCUUCAUCCUGAGCUCUGCAGAUGACCUCUCUCAAAACACUGCUUGGCGUCAUCAAAGACUCCUGGAAGGGGAGAGAAGAACCAGGGACUUGAAAACGUACUCCUGCAGUUUUUGUAAGCAGCCAACAGCUUCAGAGGGACAAUUCCAAUACUACAGGUUUAGAUAUUGCCCGAAUGCCCCGGAUGCCCCACCACCUGAAGUCUGCAAAGCUGCGAAGGAAGAAAGGAGGGGGAGGACCGUCUUCUGGAACAGCUCAACAGAAUGAACUGAGCCAUGUAUAUUUGUACAUAUUCAAAUUAGUUGUUUCUAGUUUUAAAUGCCUAGUUGUAUUGUAUCCCAAUGCACAGAAAAUGUGUUUAUCUUGUUCCUAAGAUCUUUGGUUGCUGGUUAGGCAAUCAGCUGAAUGAUUUGGCUCCCCAUCAUUGUUUUGAAGCCUUCACAGGAUGUCUUUUUUAACCAGUUCCGUCCUCAGUCAAAGAGUGUGAUUCUGUCUGAGCAAUCAAAUUCGCUUUCUAAGAUAGCAUGGAAUAGACUCCAAAUUUUGUAGCCUUAUUCAAUACCCUAUAUUUAAUUGACAAUUCUGCUAUUCUGUUUUUUUUUCAAUAGCCCUUUAUGACUUCUCAAUGGAAUUUUUUUUCUUUGUGAAUUACAUUUAUUUACACAAUACAAGCCUGUAAAGAUUCGUUUCCAGAUUCAUUCUUGAUGAGAUAUUUAUUUCCUUUAAAUUUAAUUUAAUAUUUAAUCGAUUAGUCUUGUAAUUAAUGAUAUCUUGUGAUAACCAAAGAGAUGCUAA